ACUAAAACUGACACUGAAUUUAAAGUUUUAAGGAACAUUUACAGUAUUUCAUUAAUCCACUACUCUUCUUAGUCAAUGGCUUCUCUCUAGCACCAACAUCAGUUCUACUUAACAUUUCUAUAAAUUUCCCAUUCAAAUACUAUUCAAUAAAUUUUAAAACCAUGGGUAGCCAUAACUAGCCCUAAAUAUAACCCUAUAAAAUCCCUUUAGGCCUUCAGCCAUAAAACACAUCACCAUUCGUAAUAUCUUUGCCAGUAACAAACAAACAAAAAAAAAUCAGAUUACGAAAUACAUUUUGGCAGCAGAGGGACUUUACUGUUCCAUAUCUAUCUAAAGAUUGUCUUGCUACUAGCCAAGAUAAUUUCUUCCUCUUUCCUUUUUUCUCCGCAGUGCUUCUAAGUAUAGUGACAGCCGCAUGAGGCUUUCCUAGUCUCAGCACUAGCUCAGUGAAAAUUUGGGAUAUGUAAGUGGAAAUAUGAGAGAACACUUUAUUUGGCAGUUCUUAAGGGUGGGGGGGUAGGACAAAUGGCAAAGCAGUGUUUGGGCCACAGGAUGAACAAUCAAUAGGCAGAAAGCAAGAUAGAGGCUUCCUCAGCUUUUGGAUCGACAAUCGACAGCUGAGAGACUAUUUUUUGCUAUGGUUGACUAAAUAUGGUCAGGGAAGAGAGAGGCACAAGAGAGCCUGUUUGCCGGGAGUGCGUGUUUCAAAUGCUUAGCUGCCUAUAAAGCUGUAAGAGUGUAGCCUGUGGCCACCGAAGGAAGAAUAUAAGUGGCCCCUGUGGUGGCCAUGCGCAGUCCUGUCCUCGCUUGCAGACUUAACCUCUGGAUACGACAAGGCAGCUUUACUACAGAUCUACCAUUUAGUUUAAUCUUGGGACUCAGACCCAAAAACUCAAACCAAGAAAGAUGCAGAGUAUUUCCCGAGGAGUCAGAAGAACUCAAUGUAUUCUGGUGGGCAAAGGAAAGCAGGGUGAAUGUUUACUUACUUGGGGGGAGUGAGGUGUGCUUUGGGUUGGUUUGUUUUUGGGAUUUUUUGUGUCUUUUUUAGAUUGUAAAAUUAACUUCCUCUGUAACUCUUCCCCCUCUUCUGAAGCAUUUCAUCUGAUGAAUAUGCUAGGUAUAUUUUUGUGGUCUUUGUAGCAACCUUCCUCGGUGACUUAACUCUCUCUACACAUCUGCAAUGACUGGUAUAUGCCAUUCCAAAUCGAAUGGCCAAUGUUGAUUCAAAUUUAUUGCAGGGUUUUUUUUCUUUUAGGGGAAGGGGGAGAAAAGUAGGUUAUUUGUUUCUCAAAUGUAUCUUAAAAGGUGAGGUUGCGUAUUUGCUGACACCCUCCCUCCCUUACUUCACUCAGCUCAUAAAAGAAGUGCUCGAUCAGCAAGUAGAGCUCGCACAGGACCCAUAGGAGGAGAUGGCUGCUGCGAUGCGACUCUCUAGGUCACUGCCGCUAUCCUGCUGCAAGCGCUGCAUGACACUAGGCUGACAGGAUCUAGUGACAAAUAAUAAAUCAAAGAAAGAAGCAUCUCUCUCUGAAGAGUCUAAGCUGCAACUACCAAUUUCUGAAACACCCUGUGAAGCUGCACUGAUUCUAUGAUCUCCUGCAAAAAGAACCAAACUGAGACAAAGUUCAACAGAAAACUGGUCAAAUGUUUACAAAUGUUGAUGUCCAUCAAGAACAAGGAACCCUGAUCAAUCAGAUUCAGAGCACUGAGGAGGAUACACAGAUGAAUACAAGCACCCACAAUUUUAACAGAAAGAAAGAUAUGCAUACAGUAACAGAGAAAAUGGAAAAUGGAGGAAGAAAGCGUCAACGUAUUUUAGGAAAGGGCAGCAAUGUAAUAAUGUAGCUAAAGGGUAAGGCAGGUGGAGGGAGUUUAAUUAGUGGGAGAUGAAGCUAAACAGGCUUGAGACAUCAAAAAUUGGUUCUGGGCUGGGGAUUUAGCUCAGUGGUUUCAGCAUCUGCCUUGCAAGUGCAAGGUCCUGAGUUCGAUCCCCAGUACCAAAAAAAAAAAGGUUCAAAUGACAAGACGUAUAAAUUUUACUAUGGACACGAGAAACAACUGAAAGUGUGGGAACAGUGAGGGGAAUUUUAAAGUGAUAAUUAUUUGAUCAGGAGAAUAAUAAGACACUGUAACAGUCGAGGUAAAAAUGGUAAGAACUUAUUAGGUCAGCAAUAAUAGGAAUAGAAAGACUGUGCCAGACUGAAAAGACUAGCCGAAUAGAUUGAAUUUUAAAAGGAGCAGGGCCAAGGAUGUAGCUCAUUGGCACCCGUGCCUGCCUUGAAAGUCCUGAGUUCAAUCUUCAGUACCAGAAAAAAAAAUUCAUGAAGUGCCAACUGUUUAGGGACAGGGAUUUAGCUCAGUGGCACCGCACUUGCCUCACAAGUCCAAGGUCCUGAGUUCAAUCCCUAGUACCAAAAAAAAGAGGAAUUGAGUUGAAAUUCGUGAGAGCAAAGAUAACCGUAAGCAAUGACACACCAAGAGGAAAGAUGCAUUGAAUUGUCAUACUCAGAUAAAUUACUCACUGUCCAGGAGUCUCACCUCACAGACCACAAAGCAUAAAUGGUACUAAGAAGGGCGUAAGAGCUCUGAUUCUCAAGUCACACGGAACUUGCUCAAGUUCCAGCCAUUUCUCUAAUCAGCUACAUAAUCAAGGCUAAGCAAAUUCACCUCGAUAAGCCUCACAUUCUUCAUCUAUAAGAUGAAGAUUUUAACCCCCGCUGCAAAAGCUGCUGAAAGGGCUGGAGGUGUGGCUCAGGGCAGAGCCCUUGCUUAGCGUGCACAAGGCCCAGGAUCGAUCCCCAGCACCAGAGGAGAGGUGGGCAGUAUUCAAAGCACUGAGGGAGAUAAUGCAUGUGGAGUACUGAGCAGAGGCCUGGCAUGUGCCAAGCGCUAUCACUGAAAUAAUUAUCUAUUUGAAAGCCUCAGGACAUAUAAUACUAUUCUGUCUCCUUCAUGGUACAAACAUAUGAAGUGCCUGAAUAUUCAUAAUUUGAAAAUAUUCAAGACAUGAAAUACCGUUAUCCAUUACAUCCUACAUUACAUGCCCACUGUCAUGGGUACCAACAAGCAACAGCACUCAAAGUCUUGUUUUCAAUGAUUACCCUCUAGUGAUGAUUCUAAGAAUGAAUGAAUGACUGGAAACAUUAAACACAACAAGGAACCACAGAGAGUGAGAAUUCAGGAUACAUAAAAUUGUCAAAAUAAACAUCAGCAUAAAUAUUUUCCUCACUCAAGAUAUAUUCACUUAAUCGGACACACAUUUAAAUAACGCAUUGUUUCUCUUGUGUGGGAAAUCAAAAGGGUAAAUAAGGUCCAAAUGGAUGACAGAUAUUGGGAACCAGGAAGAA